UUCGGAGUGUAUGUUUACUUUAUCUUAGCUAAACUUCUCAAUGGUGUUAACUAUGUUGAAUCAACUUCAUCUUCUCCACUUGUUCGUGAUGUUUCUCUGUUUCUCUAGUCUUGCUCUCUCAUCUGAGCCAAGAAAACCUGAAGUGGAGGCGUUGAUAAAUAUAAAGAACGGUUUGCGUGAUCCUCAUGGAGCUUUGAACAACUGGGACGAGUUUUCAGUUGAUCCUUGUAGCUGGGCUAUGAUCACUCAUUCACUUGCUCCUCCGACAACCUCGUCACUGGCCUGCGAGUUUGCUUUCCGUUCCUCUGUUCUAUAUGGAGUUCAUUAAUGUAACUCUUUCUCCCUCCAAUUGUGUAGAGUAGCUCCAAGCCAAUCUUUCUCAGGAACUCUAUCUGAGUCCAUCGGAAACCUCACAAAUCUCCGACAAGUGUCAUUGCAGAGUAACAACAUAUCCGGCAAAAUCCCUCCGGAGAUUGGUUUACUUCCAAAGUUACAAACUUUGGAUCUCUCCAACAACAGAUUCUCCGACGAGAUCCCUGUUUCCGUAGAGCAUCUAAGCAGUCUUCAAUAUCUGAGACUGAACAACAACUAGUUGUCUGGGCCCUUCCCUGCCUGAUACGCCCAAAAAUAGGGAAGGAUCACUCGACCGGAUUUUGAGAAAAGAUAUGAACUCCAAGAGGAGAACUGAUGGAAUGAGGGGUCGCACAAAGGUUGCGGAGUGGCCUUUGAUAUUCCCGAACCAGAUUGUUGCCGGAUGUGACUCACCGGUCCAACAAAGAGGCAAUCUUGAACCGUUGCUUGAUAUGACUCACAAGACCAACGGACAAGGGCGUUCGCUUGGAGCUAGCCACACCAAGAAAACUAGAAAAGUUCUAAACAAAGAACAAAGAGUAAAGACUCAAAAAGAAGUUGAAAGAAAAUGGAAUGAUUUUAUUGAUAGAAGUGUUUACAUAUUUAUACUACUUGAGGAAUAGAAAGAGACAUAUGAAUGUAUUAAAGAUAGACUUAGUAAAUCGAAUCUGACUAGAAUUUUGAAAGACAA